rnacentral:lncRNA from 1 species
UGAGCGUGGUAUUCAUUUUAUUGGACCAGACUUUAUUUGCAUGCCAUGGUGAACAGGAGUUUGUGACUUGAUAUCCGAGCACUGGUUUCAAAAUAAAUUACUUCUUUCUUACAGCUCUAGUUUGCCUCUAUUGCAACUUAAGUUCUUUACAAUAGUGUUAAUGCCCCCUCAGUCCCAUAAAAAUAAGCCUAUAGUUAAUUUCACAUGUGUUAAGAAAAUGUAAUUAAUAUAGUUAAAGUAGUAAAUUCUAUAUUGUCUUUCCUAAGAUGCCCUCCACUCAUAUUGUUCAAUCACUAAAUUAUUCUUGAAACUAAUAAAUUUUACUUUUUUAGUGCAUAUUAAAUAGGGGUAUAUUUGAAAGCUAAUAAAUAAAUUAGCAUAUUAAAAAGCAAAGUAGCAUGUCAUUUGGGAUGAAUGAAAAAGGAAAGCAAGCCUAUAUUUAUGGGAUAGGGGAAGUAGUAGGAUGAAUGAAAAAGGAAAGCAAGCCUAUAUUUAUGGGAUAGGGGAAGUAGUAUACUUUCUGAUAUUGGCAUUAGAAUUUGUUUGGAUAUAUGUUAUAAUAAAAGGUUUGGGGCCAUUUGCCAUUAGGUGGUGGACGCUUGAUCAGUUGUUUAAUUUUUCUUCUUACCUAUUUUGUUGAAUAUGCUGAAUUUAGGUGUUACCUUGUGUAGGUGCAUGAGUGGUUGCCCUUUUCUUAUGUGGUUUCUCUUAGUUGAUUUCUAUUUUGGUUUUAGAAGACCUUAUUCAGAGUCCUCAAAAUGGCUUAUUAGGAUUAGACAUGUCCAUAUACUAAUUUCUUCCUUAAUUCAAAAUAAUUCAUUGUUUGCUAGUUCUUGGAUGUUUUUAUUGAAACACAUGUUGUUUACUGUUCUUUACGAUUCUGUGUGGUAAAUAGUUAAAUAUUGAUCAUUUGGCACUUGAUGAUGGAUGGGGAAAAAGGAGAACAGCA